GGUGAUGCUGGUAUCUUAUACAGGUUAGAUGUAGGGGUACAUCGUCACUGAAUAAGUGACUCACGUGCUGAGCGUUCUACUGUCAAGAGCUACUCGCGAAAUACAUAGGUAUAAGUAUCCUUCAGAUCUGAGAUCACUAUAGUGACUUGCACGUAACUCACUGUGCUUUGAUAUCGGACUAUCUAGAUUUCUAAUGCAGUGAUGGAAAGCUCUGAGUACAAUCAAGUACUUGCGAAGUUUGUGUGUGAAUCAAGAUGGGA
rnacentral:lncRNA from 1 species